ACACGGCGCGAGCGAAUGCCUGCGGGUGAAGGCAAAGACCGAAUGCUUUUAGGCAUCCGAAAUAUUCCAUGAAACGUGAGUGCACAGAUGAAAUACCGAACGUUCAGGCUGCGGUGUGUUCUAAGCACUGGGGAUACAUCACUGCAUUCCAUUUAAUAUACGACGACCUACCGCGGACUAAAUGUACCCAAAUCUACCGCGAAAGAAGAAACUGUCGUCGCCAAACGAUUUAUUUCGAGUAUCUGUCAUUUUCUCAUACGCGGCGAACAACGACGGGUUUUAUUUUUUAAAUCAAACGUAGAGGCACGUACCACGCUUCCAGUGUCACGCUGUGUUCCGGUCAAGCACUUGAUAGGCCUACACGAAGACGACUUUGCUGGACAGUAAAACGCACUGAGGUUCAAGUUGCCUGGGCUGUGGAGAAGAGGAUGGGGCUGUGAUGAAGAGGAUGGGGCUGUGAUGGAGGGGUCUGGGCUGUGAUGAAGAGACCUGGCUGUGAUGAAGAGGUCUGGGCUGUGAUGAAGAGGACGGGGCUGUGAUGAAGAGGCCUGGGCUGGGAUGAAGAGGACAGGGCUGUGAUGAAGAAGGUCUGGCUGUGAUGAAGAGGACGGGGCUGUGAUGAAGAGGCCUGGGCUGGGAUGAAGAGGACGAGGCUGUGAUGAAGAAGGCCUGGCUGUGAUGAAGAGGACGGGGCUGUGAUGAAGAGGCCUGGGCUGUGAGGAAGAGGCCUGGCUGUGAUGAAGAGGCCUGGGCUGUGAUGAAGAGGACGAGGCUGUGAUGAAGAAGGCCUGGCUGUGAUGAAGAGGACGGGGCUGUGAUGAAGAAGGCCUGGGCUGUGAGGAAGAGGUCUGGCUGUGAUGAAGAGGUCUGGCUGUGAUGAAGAGACCUGGCUGUGAUGAAGAGGCCUGGGCUGUGAUGAAGAGGACAAGGCUGUGAUGAAGAGGACGGGGCUGUGAUGAAGAAGGCCUGGGCUGUGAUGAAGAGGCCUGGGCUGGGAUGAAGAGGACGGGGCUGUGAUGAAGAGGUCUGGGCUGUGACACUUUCAGUCUGGCAAAGGGCACAGGCAGGAGCACCAGUGCGACUGAAGAGUUCCCAGUACGAAGCUUCAUAGAACUGUGUGUAAACAGGCAUCACUCAAAAACACCAGGGGGAGACACCACGAUAUGCGCAGCCAAGGCCUUUGACUUCGAAGAAGCAAACAAUCAUGUGCUUUGAUCGCUUAAAUGAAGAAUGCCAAACCAUGUACGUCUCCAUCCACUCUGCGGCGUCGACCCGGACAUUAUGUUGUGCUUUAAGCAAGUGUCUAUUUGAAGAUACUUUGGUUCAUUUAAAAAAAGCCCAGCUGUCUCUGCCGUGUCCGUGGCAUGGCUGCUUACUGCUCAGGUCUACGGCCGUGCAGAAAUGCUUUGGUCUGUGCUUUCGGUCGUUUAUUUGGGUGGUAAUCGAUGUGGAAAUGAAUUAAAAUGGAAACAGGACAUGAGAGGAUGAUUUGCCUUGAAACCCCGCCUCCUCACACUCAGGGGCGUGGCCUCCAUCUGAGUCAGGGAGCCAAAAAAAUAAAAAAAUUAAUGGAA